AGCAUUGGUAUCAAUCCGUGGUAAAAUGUAUCAGUUCGAAAUCGAUGAAAGGAAAUGCAUUUUGGAUCACCCUGGCUUUAACGAAGUUUGCCUGAACGAAUUUGCUCUUCAAGCAGCUUCGUUAGGUUUAAAGACCAAAGGUCAUCGCAUGAUACAGACACUUCAUUUUGUAUUUCCUUUAAAACCUUAGUAUAAAUGUAUAUUAUAUAUUGAAAGUUUGCCUGGAGUUAUUAUUGGUUCUCUCAAAUUGUGAAAAUUUAUCAUCUGCAAUAUGUGUAAGUAUAUAAUAUUUGCGCGCUUCGUCUGAACAAAUUUAACCCAAA